GAGUUUGAUCCUGGCUCAGGACGAACGCUGGCGGCGUGCCUAAUACAUGCAAGUCGAGCGAGCUUGCCUAGAUGAUUUUAGUGCUUGCACUAAAUGAAACUAGAUACAAGCGAGCGGCGGACGGGUGAGUAACACGUGGGUAACCUGCCCAAGAGACUGGGAUAACACCUGGAAACAGAUGCUAAUACCGGAUAACAACACUAGACGCAUGUCUAGAGUUUGAAAGAUGGUUCUGCUAUCACUCUUGGAUGGACCUGCGGUGCAUUAGCUAGUUGGUAAGGUAACGGCUUACCAAGGCAAUGAUGCAUAGCCGAGUUGAGAGACUGAUCGGCCACAUUGGGACUGAGACACGGCCCAAACUCCUACGGGAGGCAGCAGUAGGGAAUCUUCCACAAUGGACGAAAGUCUGAUGGAGCAACGCCGCGUGAGUGAAGAAGGGUUUCGGCUCGUAAAGCUCUGUUGGUAGUGAAGAAAGAUAGAGGUAGUAACUGGCCUUUAUUUGACGGUAAUUACUUAGAAAGUCACGGCUAACUACGUGCCAGCAGCCGCGGUAAUACGUAGGUGGCAAGCGUUGUCCGGAUUUAUUGGGCGUAAAGCGAGUGCAGGCGGUUCAAUAAGUCUGAUGUGAAAGCCUUCGGCUCAACCGGAGAAUUGCAUCAGAAACUGUUGAACUUGAGUGCAGAAAAGGAGAGUGGAACUCCAUGUGUAGCGGUGGAAUGCGUAGAUAUAUGGAAG
rnacentral:rRNA from 1 species